UGGGAAUGGUUUUUAAUAUUGUUGUGUUGUCUGCUAUCUUCAGUGUGAUGCAGAGUUUGGAAAAAUGUCCGGGGGAGGAGUACCUUUGGAUAUGGGAAGGACACAUCAUUCCAAAAGUGGCAACACUUGAAAAACAACCCCAUGGAGAGAGAAUGAGUCACUUUGCUUCAGAGCUCUUCAGCUCCUGGUACACUAUCUGCCUCUAGAAAGGGCCAAAGGAUGGACCAGAUACAGUGUAAAAUCAGCCCUACCUUACAUCUUGGACCUUAGACCGUUUAGUUUUUUUUUCCAGACUGGAACCAGCAUCCCCAGCUUCUGAGCCAGCAGUCCAUCAGCUCAAUCUUUCGCGUAUAGGACACCCCAGCACAACAACUCAGUAUGCCACUGCAGUAAAGAACGACAAAAUCACCAUUCCACUUCAAGAUGACAGUUUGACAUGCACCAUAGACGCGCUGUUCUAAGCUGUUUUGGAACAAGUAAAUUUCAGUAAUGUCUCAGAGGAUGCAGCAAGUGAAUGGUGCCCCCUGUCUAUUGGUUGUGCAGUUUAAUGAUAGCAUGAUCUGAUGCAUCAAUUAUUUGUAGGCUAGUGCACUCUUGUUGAUUUUCUAUUAAUUGAACUUCUGUGAAUUUUCACGCUGAACUGUUUUUUUUUUUUUUUUUUUUUCAGUUUGAUUUUUAAUCAGUCCUUCAAAUGUCAGUAUACAACUGGAGAAUGAUUUGACUUUUCUAAUGCAUUUACUUUAUUUUGUGUCUCGUAAAGUUUUUACAGUCACCAUUUUUGUAAGACAGACCUAUACUCCAGUACAGAAUGCAAUAUUAUGGUCUAAAAAGCUUAUUUUCCAUCCA